rnacentral:lncRNA from 1 species
AUGGCGCUGAAAGCAAAGAAGGAAGCUCCUGCCCCUCCUAAAGCUGAAGCCAAAGCAAAGGCUUUAAAGGCCAAGAAGGCAGUGUUGAAAGGUGUUCACAGCCACAAAAAAAAGAAGACCCGCACGUCACCCGCCUUCUGGUGGCCCAAGACACCACGACUCCGGAAGCAGCCCAAAUAUCCUCGGAAAAGCACCCUCAGGAGAAACAAGCUUGACCACUAUGCUGUCAUCAAGUUUCCAUUGACCACUGAGUCUGCCAUGAAGAAGAUAGAAGACAACAACACACUUGUGUUCAUUGUGGAUGUUAAAGCCAACAAGCACCAGAUCAAAAAGGCUGUGAAGAAGCUCUAUGACAUUGAUGUGGCCAAGGUCAACACCCUGAUUCAGCCUGAUGGAGAGAAGAAAGCAUAUGUUCAACUGGCUCCUGAUUACAAUGCUUUGGAUGUUGCCAACAAAAUUGGGAUCAUCUAA